rnacentral:rRNA from 1 species
CAGUCGCCGCGGUAAUACGAAGGGGGCUAGCGUUGUUCGGAUUUACUGGGCGUAAAGCGCACGUAGGCGGAAAUUUAAGUCAGGGGUGAAAUCCCGAGGCUCAACCUCGGAACUGCCUUUGAUACGGGGUUUCUUGAGUCCGGAAGAGGUGAGUGGAACUGCGAGUGUAGAGGUGAAAUUCGUAGAUAUUCGCAAGAACACCAGUGGCGAGGGCGGCUCACUGGUCCGGAACUGACGCUGAGGUGCGAAAGCGUGGGGAGCAAACAGGAUUAGAUACCCGUGUAGUCCCUGUCUCUUAUAC